rnacentral:rRNA from 1 species
GGAAGAGAAAGAAAAUUCGAUUCCCUUAGUAGCGGCGAGCGAAACGGGAAGAGCCCAAACCAACAAGCUUGCUUGUUGGGGUUGUAGGACACUCUAUACGGAGUUACAAAGGACGACAUUAGACGAAUCAUCUGGAAAGAUGAAUCAAAGAAGGUAAUAAUCCUGUAGUCGAAAAUGUUGUCUCUCUUGAGUGGAUCCUGAGUACGACGGAGCACGUGAAAUUCCGUCGGAAUCUGGGAGGACCAUCUCCUAAGGCUAAAUACUCUCUAGUGACCGAUAGUGAACCAGUACCGUGAGGGAAAGGUGAAAAGCACCCCGGAAGGGGAGUGAAAUAGAACCUGAAACCGUGUGCUUACAAGUAGUCAGAGCCCGUUAAUGGGUGAUGGCGUGCCUUUUGUAGAAUGAACCGGCGAGUUACGAUUUGAUGCAAGGUUAAGCAGUAAAUGUGGAGCCGUAGCGAAAGCGAGUCUGAAUAGGGCGUUUAGUAUUUGGUCGUAGACCCGAAACCAGGUGAUCUACCCUUGGUCAGGUUGAAGUUCAGGUAACACUGAAUGGAGGACCGAACCGACUUACGUUGAAAAGUGAGCGGAUGAACUGAGGGUAGCGGAGAAAUUCCAAUCGAACCUGGAGAUAGCUGGUUCUCUCCGAAAUAGCUUUAGGGCUAGCCUCAAGUGAUGAUUAUUGGAGGUAGAGCACUGUUUGGACGAGGGGCCCCUCUCGGGUUACCGAAUUCAGACAAACUCCGAAUGCCAAUUAAUUUAACUUGGGAGUC